CAAAAAAUAGUUUAGCUGAGAAUACUAGCUUUGGGGGCUAGAGGGGAGGGUUCGAAUCCUUCUUUUUUGA
rnacentral:tRNA from 1 species